UNGGAAGUUAUGCAUGUGUAAGUAGUUGG
rnacentral:piRNA from 1 species